UACGUAGGGGGCAAGCGUUGUCCGGAAUCAUUGGGCGUAAAGCGCGCGUAGGUGGUCCCGUAAGUCCGCUGUGAAAGUCAAAGGCUCAACCUUUGAAAGCCGGUGGAUACUGUGGGACUAGAGUACGGAAGAGGCGAGUGGAAUUCCUGGUGUAGCGGUGGAAUGCGCAGAUAUCAGGAGGAACACCAAUAGCGAAGGCAGCUCGCUGGGACGUUACUGACACUGAGGCGCGAAAGCUAGGGGAGCAAACGGG
rnacentral:rRNA from 1 species